rnacentral:misc_RNA from 1 species
CACGGAGGAUGGAGGAAUUGGACACGGAGGAUGGAGGGACAGCGGGACUGGCAGACUGGGAAAAGCGCAGUCUAGGUCUGUUGGUGGGGUAAUGUGGGACUGUGGAGGGCGUGAAGUGAGCUGAUACUACUGUAGCGAUUCGUUCGCCAUUCAAUUCACUAAUUGGUUCAAUUCCGCUCAACUUCUUCACCGCUCAUCGCUCUUCUAGCCGGUCAAGAGCAGAUUAUCAAUCCGCUGGCGAAUCGGCUUACGGAAGACGCCACUAUCCGAUACGAGAAUCCGGUCACGCGAUGCGGAGACGGAAGUGUGCAACUGUGGAUUUGGACAGAUUAUCAAACAUUCACAAACGAGAGACAUCCACAAACGAGAGACAUCCACAAACGAGAGAAAUGUCGUCAACACUACGACUUUUUGGUUUUCCAACUGACCAAGGACCGACAUGAACAACGUGAAGGGAUGAAGGACAGGCGCCUGAACCUCCAGUUUCACCCACAAGUUCCAUGAGUCUAGCCAAAGUAAAUACAUCCAGAAACGCUUCGUGAUAGCUCCCAAAUACGACCAGAAACGCUUCGUGACAGCUCCCAAAUACGACCAAAAACAAGUCCCAGACUGCUCCCAUGCUCCGAAUGACCUUUCCGUCGAAGGAGUCUGCGUGAUUCUCGACACUUUGGGCUACAAUGUUCUCGCCAACUCUUUGGGUGACUCGUUCUACCUGUAUGAACUGAUUUUGUUUUCGGGCGCGUCUUGUGUUCAGACAGUAACGACGACUCCUCGAGAGUUUGCCGCCCGUGCCAUCAACGAGACUGAUCAGCGUGGUCGUCUGGACACAUGAGUUCCGUCGUACCUGAACGUGGUGACUGUAUUGUUCUAGAAGCAGUCUGUUUGCUGCGCAGAGCCAGGAUCCCAUCCAGUUCACGCGUUCUGCCAACUCGUCAGAGGUGCAUCUGGCAGCUUUCGAGGCUCUGUUGCCCAUUGGCGUGCCCAACAGUCGUGCUGUCCAUCAAGUGGUUAGUCGUAUGAUCGCGAUGAGUUUGGUGUCCUUCUUACGAGGGCUGUCCGAAGAGCUCCACUCAUGAGAGCACUGGCCAUGCCUACUGGGGGAAUUGGCGACUCUCAGUUGCGAUUGUCAACUUGAUGACAGCAGAUUCUAGAUGGACCUGGAAUAUGGACCUAGACGGAGGUUCUGCUUGCAGAGAGGUGGAGAAAGAUUUGCUACAACACACAACUACAACUGCAACAGAUCAGGGCCGAAUUCACAAGUCUCUAGUGUGUCUUUCUGCCCUACCAACUGUCGUGGAUUGUGGUCUGCCGUACCAUGGUGAUUGACAUGGACACGGGCAUUGAUUCAACCGGCUCCCGGGAGAUUGAUUCAAGCGGCUUCCGGAAUAUUCUCUUCUAGUUUGCAAUUGAUACAAGUACAGUACAAUAUUGUGCAGUACUUCAACGGUUCAGUC